UACGAAGGGGGCUAGCGUUGCUCGGAAUCACUGGGCGUAAAGGGUGCGUAGGCGGGUCUUUUAAGUCAGAGGUGAAAUCCUGGAGCUCAACUCCAGAACUGCCUUUGAUACUGGAGGAUCUUGAGUUCGGGAGAGGUGAGUGGAACUGCGAGUGUAGAGGUGAAAUUCGUAGAUAUUCGCAAGAACACCAGUGGCGAAGGCGGCUCACUGGCCCGAGUACUGACGCUGAGGCACGAAAGCGUGGGGAGCAAACAGG
rnacentral:rRNA from 1 species